rnacentral:pre_miRNA from 1 species
GGCCUAAAUUUGUAAUAGAGUAGAUUUGUAUGGUCAGCUAAUCCUACUAAUCUACUCUCCUUCAAGUUUGUGCCG